rnacentral:rRNA from 1 species
GAGGGAAAGGCGAAAAGAACCCCGGCGAGGGGAGUGAAAAAGAACCUGAAACCGUGUACGUACAAGCAGUAGGAGCCUCUUUAUGGGGUGACUGCGUACCUUUUGUAUAAUGGGUCAGCGACUUAUAUUCUGUAGCAAGGUUAACCGUAUAGGGGAGCCGUAGGGAAACCGAGUCUUAACUGGGCGAAUGAGUUGCAGGGUAUAGACCCGAAAC